rnacentral:SRP_RNA from 1 species
UUGUGACCGCCGCGCAACGGCCCAGUCCGAACCCCGCCAGGCCCGGAAGGGAGCAACGGUAAGGGCUUUCGGUCGUGUGCGCGGCGGUCUUUCUUU